rnacentral:rRNA from 1 species
GAUAACGUCGGCGCGUCGGCCGCGGUAAUGCUUAGGGUUGAAGGGGUGUCCGGAUUUAUUGGGCGGAGAGAGCUCGUAGGAGGUUGUGCGCGUCGGAUGUGAAAACCUAUUGCUUAACCAUGGGCCUGCAUUCGAUACGGGCAAACUAGAGUUCGGUAGGGGAGACUGGAAUUCCUGGUGUAGCGGUGAAAUGCGCAGAUAUCAGGAGGAACACCGGUGGCGAAGGCGGGUCUCUGGGCCGAUACUGACGCUGAGGAGCGAAAGCGUGGGGAGCAAACAGGAUUAGAUACCCGAGUAGUC